rnacentral:rRNA from 1 species
AUUGAACGCUGGCGGCAUGCUUUACACAUGCAAGACGAACGGUAACAGGCCGCAAGGUGCUGACGAGUGGCGAACGGGGGAGUAAUGCAUCGGAACGUGCCCAGUCGUGGGGGAUAACGCAGCGAAAGCUGCGCUAAUACCGCCUACGAUCUCUGGAUGAAAGCGGGGGACCGAAAGGCCUCGCGCGAUUGGAGCAGCCGAUGUCAGAUUAGGUAGUUGGUGGGGUAAAGGCCCACCAAGCCAACGAUUUGUAGCUGGUCUGAGAGGACGACCAGCCACACUGGGACUGAGACACGGCCCAGACUCCUACGGGAGGCAGCAGUGGGGAAUUUUGGACAAUGGGCGCAAGCCUGAUCCAGCAAUGCCGCGUGCAGGAAGAAGGCCUUCGGGUUGUAAACUGCUUUUGUACGGAACGAAACGGUCCGGGUUAAUACCCUGGGCUAAUGACGGUACCGUAAGAAUAAGCACCGGCUAACUACGUGCCAGCCGCCGCGGUAAAAC